GCGGACAUGGUGGAAUUGGUAGACACAUCAGACUUAAAAUCUGAAGGAGAUUAUCUCCGUCCCGGUUCGAGUCCGGGUGUCCGCA
rnacentral:tRNA from 1 species